rnacentral:tRNA from 1 species
CUGGCCAUGGUGGUGAAGGCCACCACGGCGUUUUGCAGACGCCCCGGUACUUGGCGCAGGGCCGCCGUUCCCAGGGUGGCGAUGGCCAGGCC